GGAGACGUAGCUCAGUCGGUUAGAGCGCUCGCUUCACAUGCGAGAGGUCUAGGGUUCGAGUCCCUACGCCUCCACCA
rnacentral:tRNA from 1 species